rnacentral:rRNA from 1 species
CGCUGGCGGUAGGCUUAACACAUGCAAGUCGUGCGAGAAAGUAUCUUCGGAUAUGAGUAGAGCGGCGGACGGGUGAGUAACGCGUAGGAAUCUACCUAGUAGAAGGGGAUAGCCCGGGGAAACCCGGAUUAAUACCGUAUACCUCCUUUGGGAGAAAGAAGGCCUCUCUUUAGAAGCUUUCGCUACUAGAUGAGCCUGCGUAAGAUUAGCUUGUUGGUGAGGUAAAGGCUCACCAAGGCGACGAUCUUUAGCUGGUCUGAGAGGACGAUCAGCCACAUUGGGACUGAGACACGGCCCAGACUCCUACGGGAGGCAGCAGUGGGGAAUAUUGGACAAUGGGCGCAAGCCUGAUCCAGCCAUACCGCGUGUGUGAAGAAGGCCUUCGGGUUGUAAAGCACUUUAAGCAGGGAGAAAAAGUUAUAAGUUAAUACCUUAUAACCCUGAUGUUACCUGCAGAAUAAGCACCGGCUAAUUCCGUGCCAGCAGCCGCGGUAAUACGGAAGGUGCAAGCGUUAAUCGGAAUUACUGGGCGUAAAGCGCGCGUAGGUGGUUUGUUAAGUUGGAUGUGAAAGCCCUGGGCUCAACCUAGGAACUGCAUCCAAAACUAACUCACUAGAGUACGAUAGAGGGAGGUAGAAUUCAUAGUGUAGCGGUGGAAUGCGUGGAUAUUAUGAAGAAUACCAGUGGCGAAGGCGGCCUCCUGGAUCUGUACUGACACUGAGGUGCGAAAGCGUGGGUAGCGAACAGGAUUAGAUACCCUGGUAGUCCACGCCGUAAACGAUG